rnacentral:rRNA from 1 species
CAGUCGCCGCGGUAAUACAGAGGGUGCGAGCGUUAAUCGGAUUUACUGGGCGUAAAGCGUGCGUAGGCGGCUUCUUAAGUCGGAUGUGAAAUCCCUGAGCUUAACUUAGGAAUUGCAUUCGAUACUGGGAAGCUAGAGUAUGGGAGAUGAUGGUAGAAUUCCAGGUGUAGCGGUGAAAUGCGUAGAGAUCUGGAGGAAUACCGAUGGCGAAGGCAGCCAUCUGGCCUAAUACUGACGCUGAGGUACGAAAGCAUGGGGAGCAAACAGGAUUAGAUACCCCUGUAGUCCCUGUCUCUUAUAC